rfam:Phalacrocorax carbo contig125932, whole genome shotgun sequence.
GCAAUGGUUUUUUUCAAAACCAACAAUAAAGUGAUAGAAAAACCC